rnacentral:tRNA from 1 species
GGAUGGGUGGCCGAGUGGUUUAAGGCAGCAGUCUUGAAAACUGCCGUAGUCGAAAGGCUACCGGGGGUUCGAAUCCCUCCCCAUCCG